rnacentral:lncRNA from 1 species
UGAUGAAAAGGGUACAUGAUUUGAAGAAUUGAAGGUUGUAACCAGAAAGAAUAUGGUAGGAACUGAUGAUGAAUAAUUUGGGAUUGUGAUGAUGAUUAAGAGUUGAAACAUAUACUUAUGUUCUCUUCUUAGGUGUCUUUGAAUCCUAGAAAAACCAUGAUUCUUCUAGCCAAGCCAAGCUUUAACCUUCAAAAGACCUUUUGACUUUACCAAACGUGUGUGGAAUGUAUGAAUUAGAUGAUGUGCAAAAGUUGAUGAAGUUCUUAAACAAANUUGUUACAGGUGAGGACAAACACUGGAAGUGAGAGAUCUUAAUAUCUGGUCUGGUUGUUCAUACUCAAUGCAUAAGUGAACUUUUAUUGAUGAAUGCACCAUGUCAUGUCUGUUCAAGUCUUUGGGAAUUCAUAUAAUUUUUCUGAUAAGCACAUUCAUUUCAUCAAAAUGUCAAAUGUCUGUUAUGUGUUGUUCAUUUAUUUUCUGUGAUUUCCUGAGGACAUGAAAUAAUUCAAGUUUGGGGGAGUUGAUAAGUGUAAAAAUGAGUUAUUUUUACACUUAUAAAUGAUCUCAAUUUUGUAAUUAUUCAUGUUAUUACUCAGUGAAAUGUUGUAAUAGGAAGUAGAUUGUUACGUAAAUUAUUGUGCAGGAAAAGAUGUAUAAACGGGAAUAUGUCAACUAAUUCUCGCAGAGCGUAAGCCAAAUUCGCAGAGCCAGAAAAAAUAGAUUCGCACAGCGCACCA